AUGAAGAUUGUCCUUUGGCGCUUCGUGCAUGAUUGUCUCCCAUCAGGCAACCAGCUCCGGAGGCGCCAAGUUCCAACGAGAGCCGAUUGCUUCUUCUGUGGUCGGCUGGAAAGUGUCGAGCACGCGCUGCUGUUUUGCCCCCAUGCUCGGGCUGUGUGGGAUGAGAUAAAGGAAUCCUUCAACGUCCACCUCCGCAGAUCGUCUUUCUCCACUCCCAAGCAAUGGCUGUUUGACUUCCUAUCUUCUUGCUCAGACCAGGAUGCGACCGUUCUUACGGUUUCCAUCUGGCACAUUUGGGAAGCUCGCAAUACUGCAAGAAACGAACCGUUUGCUCCUCCUCCUAGGAGUACGGCGGCCAGAACCAAGGCAUAUAUCGACCUCAUCUUCCAGCAUUUGUUCAAACCUGUACAUGCUACCAGGUGUGAGACCUCUUCCUCUGCCCGUCUUUGGUCUCCGCCGCCGCAUGGUACAAUGGUUGCGUUCUCUGACGCCGCUGUUUGUGAGGGGCUGGGCAUGUCCAGUAUUGGAGUGGUGAUUCUCAACCACGAGGGGAAUUGUGUGGAUGCGUGCUCUGAACCUUUAAGGGGCGUGCGUUCGCCGGAGUUGGCUGAAGCAAUGGCUCUUCGGCGCGCUGUCCGCUUAGCCCGGGAGGAGGGUUUACCAGUGUCCUUUUCAAGUCUAAUUGCCUCUCGGUGGCCGUCUGAAUAUGGGCCGGCCCAAACAGGCGUGCUGUGUCUUCUCUCUGCGUGCAGGGAGCGCAGUAUUGAAGGUUCCUACCGCAUGGGCCGGCGUAAAAUCACCGUAGAACAAUUGUUCUAUGCUCAGAGCUUAAAAAAAAGAACUAAUGACGACUUCUUCCACAACAACUCCUUCAAGAUGGGAUAA
rnacentral:rRNA from 1 species